rnacentral:misc_RNA from 1 species
CGAAAUGCGAUAAGUAGUGUGAAUUGCAGAAUUCAGUGAAUCAUCGAAUCUUUGAACGCACAUUGCGCCCCUUGGUAUUCCAUGGGGCAUGCCUGUUCGAGCGUCAUUUGUACCCUCAAGCUCUGCUUGGUGUUGGGUGUUUGUCCCCGUCUCCGCGCGUGGACUCGCCCCAAAGUGAUUGGCAGCCGGCGUACUGGUCCCGGAGCGCAGCACAUGUCGCGCAAACGAGUGCCUUGGUACGGCGGUGUCCAUAAGCCCCUCUCUCACGCUCUUGACCUCGGAUCAGGUAGGGAUACCCGCUGAACUUAAGC